GUCUGUUCGGCGACCCGUCUGCCUGUUUUUCUAUUUUUAAAUUUAGCCUAGUUUGUUGGGCUCCCGGCGAAUUCUUGUGUUCUUUCUGCACUUCGACACGGCACCCCUGCACUAUUGGACUACGGCAAGCUGACGUCGUCCGGUGGAGCUUCCUACGGGAACUACUGCUGCUUACCUGGUGCCACAACGUUCAAUGCACAAAGCCCACAACAACAUUUAUAUAGAAUAAAAUAAACUUUUCCUCAUUUCAGAA
rnacentral:lncRNA from 1 species